GCAUGCGGGAGCUACCAUGCAGUCGACGGCAGCACGGACUUCGGUCUGGUGGCGAGUGGCGAACGGGUGAGUAAUGUAUCGGAACGUGCCCAGUAGCGGAGGAUAACUACGCGAAAGCGUAGCUAAUACCGCAUACGCCCUACGGGGGAAAGCAGGGGAUCGCAAGACCUUGCACUAUUGGAGCGGCCGAUAUCGGAUUACCUAGUUGGUGGGGUAACGGCUCACCAAGGCGACGAUCCGUAGCUGGUUUGAGAGGACGACCAGCCACACUGGGACUGAGACACGGCCCAGACUCCUACGGGAGGCAGCAGUGGGGAAUUUUGGACAAUGGGGGAAACCCUGAUCCAGCCAUCCCGCGUGUGCGAUGAAGGCCUUCGGGUUGUAAAGCACUUUUGGCAGGAAAGAAACGUCGCGGGUUAAUACCCCGCGGAACUGACGGUACCUGCAGAAUAAGCACCGGCUAACUACGUGCCAGCAGCCGCGGUAAUACGUAGGGUGCAAGCGUUAAUCGGAAUUACUGGGCGUAAAGCGUGCGCAGGCGGUUCGGAAAGAAAGAUGUGAAAUCCCAGAGCUUAACUUUGGAACUGCAUUUUUAACUACCGAGCUAGAGUGUGUCAGAGGGAGGUGGAAUUCCGCGUGUAGCAGUGAAAUGCGUAGAUAUGCGGAGGAACACCGAUGGCGAAGGCAGCCUCCUGGGAUAACACUGACGCUCAUGCACGAAAGCGUGGGGAGCAAACAGGGAUUAGAUACCCUGGUAGUCCACGCCCUAGCGAUGUCAACUAGCUGUUGGGGUCUUCGGGCCUUGGUAGCGCAGCUAACGCGUGAAGUUGACCGCCUGGGGAGUACGGUCGCAAGAUUAAAACUCAAAGGAAUUGACGGGGACCCGCACAGCGGUGGCUGAUGUGGAUUAUUUCGAUGCAACGCGAAAAACCUUACCUACCCUUGACAUGUCUGGAAUCCUGACAGAAUUGGGAGUGCUCGCAGAGACCGGAACACAGGUGCUGCAUGGCUGUCGUCAGCUCGUGUCGUGAGAUGUUGGGUUAAGUCCCGCAACGAGCGCACCCUUGUCAUUAGUUGCUACGAAAGGGCACUCUAUGAGACUGCCGGUGACA
rnacentral:rRNA from 1 species